AACUAUCAAAACACUUUUUUAAGAAAAGUGUUUUGGACUUUGGGAGUAUUGUGCUGGUCUGUUUGAGCCAGCUCUCCUCAAAAGCAUUAGCUUUGGAGACCAUCAGUGUGAUAAUUUGUUUACACUGGCUUCUCCUUUUAAAUGCACC
rnacentral:misc_RNA from 1 species